rnacentral:rRNA from 1 species
UAGGGAAUCUUCCGCAAUGGGCUAAAGCCUGACGGAGCAACGCCGCGUGAGUGAUGAAGGUCUUCGGAUCGUAAAACUCUGUUAUUAGGGAAGAACAAAUGUGUAAGUAACUAUGCACGUCUUGACGGUACCUAAUCAGAAAGCCACGGCUAACUACGUGCCAGCAGCCGCGGUAAUACGUAGGUGGCAAGCGUUAUCCGGAAUUAUUGGGCGUAAAGCGCGCGUAGGCGGUUUUUUAAGUCUGAUGUGAAAGCCCACGGCUCAACCGUGGAGGGUCAUUGGAAACUGGAAAACUUGAGUGCAGAAGAGGAAAGUGGAAUUCCAUGUGUAGCGGUGAAAUGCGCAGAGAUAUGGAGGAACACCAGUGGCGAAGGCGACUUUCUGGUCUGUAACUGACGCUGAUGUGCGAAAGCGUGGGGAUCAAACAGG